GAUGAACGCUAGCGGCAGGCUUAACACAUGCAAGUCGAGGGGUAUUGGUUUUCGGACCAAGAGACCGGCGCACGGGUGCGUAACGCGUAUGCAAUCUACCUUUUGCAGAGGGAUAGCCCCAGAGAAAUUUGGAUUAAUACCUCAUAGUAUAGUACUUUGGCAUCAAGGAACUAUUAAAGUCACAACGGCAAAAGAUGAGCAUGCGUCCCAUUAGCUAGUUGGUAAGGUAACGGCUUACCAAGGCUACGAUGGGUAGGGGUCCUGAGAGGGAGAUCCCCCACACUGGUACUGAGACACGGACCAGACUCCUACGGGAGGCAGCAGUGAGGAAUAUUGGACAAUGGGCGCAAGCCUGAUCCAGCCAUGCCGCGUGCAGGAUGACGGUCCUAUGGAUUGUAAACUGCUUUUAUACAGGAAGAAACACUCCGACGUGUCGGAGCUUGACGGUACUGUAAGAAUAAGGAUCGGCUAACUCCGUGCCAGCAGCCGUAC
rnacentral:rRNA from 1 species